ensembl:lncRNA
AUGCAGAUGGAUCUUGAAGUGCAUCUCCAAAUGUUAUUAGCUGUUGGCCUGGCCGUUCUCUGUUUCUGCCUGGUGAUUGGCUGCAUCGUCUGCUGCUGGCACCAGAAGCCCCGCCCCUUGGAUGACAAAGAGGCGGGGCUUUCCUUACCCCCUCUACCUGCAGAUCAUGUGACGGUGACUCUAAGCCCCUCCCCUUCCAUCAACACCCUGCCAAUCAAACAGCAGUAUGAAGAGCUGGAUGGAGACGUUCUGGACUCUCCCUCAUUUAACAGCAGCUCGACGCCGUCUGAAGACGAUCUUUCUUUAGCAUCUCAUCCUGUGAAGUCUCGCUUCAAUCUGCGGCGGCUCAGCUCCCCCGCCGUUCCCUACAAAGCCUCUAAACCUGUCCGUAGUCGUUCCUCGCUCCCGAGCAUUCCUAAACUCAGCCUGGGUGGGAAGUCACGCCGGGUGAUUGAUCGUAAAAGCAGUGAUAAUGUAUCGUUUUCGGAAAGCAGCAAGCUUAACACCGACCGCGGCCGAUAUUACGGCUCCGCCUCUCACAAAGCCACACCUUCCCUUCACUUCACCCUUCAUUUCUCACCAGCAGAGGGCAAACUCACCGUCACGGUUCUGGGGCUCUACCGGGGCUCUAGGAAACUAAGUGGGACUACGGUGAGGGCCUGUCUGUCUCCGAUCUGCCUUGCACCGGAUUUGGUCGGCCCAAAGCGCAGACACAGCCUCAUUCCGGAGGCUCCGGAGCAGGUUUUCCAGCUGCAGGUGAGGUCAGCAGAGGAGCUCCAGUCCUGUACCCUCAGACUGACCGUGUCCAGCAGGGAUUUCUCUGGUCUGAGGGAGACGGCUUUGGGUGAACUCGAACUUCCAUGUGCUGAAAUCCACUGGGAACCCGACUGCACUGUCACCUUUAAUCGGCAGCUCAAUCCUGCAAGGAGGAGGCUGAGGAAGGUAUUGGAGGAGAUUAUGUAUCGUAUAUCUAGUCAAUGUCAGGUUUAUUUAUAUGUGACCCUGGGCCAAUCAUAAGGGUCAAUUUUAUGAAAUCAUCUGAAAGCUGAAUAAAUAAUCUCUCCAUUGAUGUAUGGUUUGUUAG